GGAUAGGUGAGUCUGGUGCUUCGAGAAGGUAGGUGAGUUUGGUAGGUUAAGGAGAAGACAGGUGAGUCUCGUGAGUUAGAGGGAAAACAGGUGAGUCUCGUGGACCAAGGAGAAGACAGGUGAGUCAAGUGGGUAAGGCGGGGCAGGUGAGUCAGUCGAGAGGCGAGUCAGAAAAGGGUUGACCGUUUGUGACUAUUAGAGAGACAAAAAAAUCAUAAAAUGUUGAAAAAAGGGAAAAUAUUUGCAAGAAUAUUCAUAAAUGAUAAUAAUAAUGAUAAUGAUAA